UUAUGACGCUCCUGCCCAGGACAAAGGAUUUGUGUAUGAGAACGCUGGUGUUGACAGGUUCUGGUCCUGAAGCCACUUGGAUCUGUGUUUCUCCAGAACUGGAAAAUAAGAUGGAAGAAAAGUCUUCCAGUGUGGUUGUUCAGAUUGCAGAAAGUUCUCAUUUAUUCACUAAUGCCCCUGAUGGACGUCGCCAGCUGACUGAGCAAGCUAUAAACCAGAUGCUGAUCCACUGGGCUGAAUAAAGAUAUUCAGGAUCAUCUUUGGCAAGCUGGAUAGCAAGGGACAAGAAGAUUCCCCUGGAAAAGUCCAGCUUCCCUUCAGGACAAGACCUCACAUUACACUCUGCUCAGUUAUGGGCUGAUGUCAUAAUGCCCCGCCAUCACUCAUGAGCUCUCAAGGUUCUUCUCUUCUUCUUCGGUCUCCAGUUCUGCAUGUUGGUUGAGUUUGCUGGACACAGACCAACUUAGGGGCAGCUCCGCCCUGCUGGCUAGCUCAGCCAGCUCUUUGGCACUGAGAGAUGGGGUGCUGGUCUCAUAGGUCUCGUGGAAACUGUUGUAGUCGACCUCAUAGAACCCGUCUUCCAGCGUCAGGACAGGCGUGAAGCGGUAACCCCACAGGAUCUCACUCGUGAUGUAGGAGCUCCGAGCCUGGCAUGUCAUCCCUGCAGAGAAGGGAAUGGACGGAGGGCUUUAGUAUGUUGGGAGUGUGGGCUUUCCAUCAACGAGGGGACCCAGCGAGCUGGGCACGGCUGCUGUGUGCAGCUGUUCAGACUGUGCCCUGCACAAGGUGCUGCAAAUAAGGAGGUAUUAUUCAUGUUGUAGACAUACACUAACAUGCGCAAGAGCUUCCCUGGCCUCUAGCAGGAGUUCUGGGCGGGGGGGCAACAUGAGAGUUCUGGCUCACAGAACCAGAACUUGCCUGCAAGGCCAUGCACACAUGCACUUAAGCAUGUGUGCACACACACACAGGUUCAUGUGGUUGUGCCUCAUCUACUUUUUGCCCUGGGAGAAACUGGAGGCUGUGACUCUGUUCUCCCAUUGCUUUUAGAGACUUUGCCAGAGUCCUGCUGAGACUUCAGCAUUCCAGCCACAGACUUAGGAUGAAGUUUGGCUUGUGGAACUACCCCAAGGAUGCCUUUAAGCUGAACGCCAUGGAUUAGUGUUACUGUCCCACCACUAUGCCAUUCAGGCCCACAACUGUGGCCCCAAAUGAGGUUGGAAAGGAUGCCCACUUGACUUUGCACUUUCUCCAAGCUCAGUGGGCAUAGUUAUUUAGACUGUGCAAUGAUAUAAUACUUUAAAUGCUUUCCCCCUUCUUCUUCAAGAUAAGAAGCCCCUUGCUAAUUUGCACAGAAAUGCCAUAUGAGCUACUGGAGCCCAGGAAUCAGGAGCAGCUUUAUUUUAAUAUGAAAUGACAGAAUGAGGGGGAACUCCACUCAUGUCCUUAGAGAAGAGAACUAGGUAACUGGGCUUGGCAUAAAAUCUGGAGAAUGCAUUGGUGCACUGCUCAAAGGGCUCUCUUACGAAACGUCUCAUAUGUGGAAGGCAUCUAUUGAGUAGUUCCUGCAGGGAUGACUUCCCCAUUAGUGAGGCAGAUCCAGGGCCUAGGGCCUACAGUGCUUUCAAGGACCCACGAAAGUUCUUUUAAAAUCAGAAGAAAAAAAGAUAAACUUUUAGGUAGAAGAAAAAUGCUAAUGUAGUCAUCUUCAUACUAAUUAUAUUGUAAAAUGUAAUAUAAUUAAACCAUUUUUGGGGUCCACAGAGGUAAAACUACCUAAGGCUCACAAAAGUCAUACUGUGGCCACUGUUCAUUCAUUCAAGAAAACAGCCAGGCAGUCAGGAUGUCAUUCAUGGGGACAGCCAAUAAGGUGUAUCAGGCAACUGCUUUGUGCUGAAUGUAGGUAGAAUGGGAAGAAGAGGACACACGUGGGCGUUUACACAGAGGGAUUCAGAAUUACGGAAUGUUCUCAGAGCAUUGCAUCUGCUCCUCAUGACUAGAAGAAGAAACUGGGGUGCCAGGGAUGUAAGCGAUUUACCCCACUCAGCUGUUAGGGGCAGAGUCAGCAUAGCCCUCACUCUAGCCCUAUGCUCUUCUUCUUUAUCCCCAAACUGAAUGCUAACCUCUACAGUGUCUCCCUGGCUGACCUAUAAAAGCUCCCUUCUAUGCCUCUGAAAUAAAUAUCGCAGAACUUCUAGGUACUGGAAAGAAAAGAGCACUGUCUUGCUUUUUUUUUCUCAACCAGUGUUUUGCUCCUGAACCGCCAACUCUUUAUCUGUGUUUGGGAAUGAUGAGGGAAGACAGGUGAUAGCUGGGACAUGUGGGCUCAGAAGGAGGAAUACAUAGGAAGUCAAAGGGAAAAGGUGAUAAAGUAUAACUUGAAUAACCUUUUUUCAUAAAGAAAGUACAUGUUUAUUGUAAAGUGACUAGAAAACAGAGAUGAACAAAUAAAAUCCACCUAGAUCUUCA